GACAGAGGUGCCGAGCGUUAGGCGGAAUCACUGGGCUUAAAGCGUGUGUAGGCGGGUCCGUAAGUACCUUGUGAAAUCCCAUGGCUCAACCAUGGAACUGCUUGGUAUACUGCGGGUCUUGAGCCACUUAGAGGCAACCGGAACAAACGGUGGAGCGGUGAAAUGCGCAGAUAUCAGGAGGAACACCAAUGGCGAAGGCAGCUCGCUGGGACGUGACUGACGCUGAGACGCGAAAGCGUGGGGAGCAAACAGG
rnacentral:rRNA from 1 species